rnacentral:lncRNA from 1 species
AUCAUAAACUCUGUCCUUUCUCCUCUAAAAAGGAUUAGGACUCCUGUGAAUAGGAGUCUUGUCUUCAAGUGCUAGGGCCUUGACCUACCUUUGUACUGUUUUACUCACUUUCAACCGUGCCUGGCAGUUGUUGGAGAUUUUUCAUUCUCAGCCAUGUCCUUGGGAAGAGUGACCUUUCCCCAUCAUGCGAACCACCCACAAGUCAGGAGCAGAGUAUUCCAGCAUUCCAUGCUGAGGAGGGGGCUGCUUUGGCCGGCUUCCUUCCUCCUUCCCCAAACAGAACCAAGUUCCUAUAUAAAAUUCAUAAAUUCUUGGCAGGAAAGAAAUCCUCCCAUUGGAAGGAACAGAUGUUCUACGAGUAACUUUUGCCACUAUACUCUGUUCCUAAUAUCAUAGUCUUAAAAGCGUGGGGGGAUGUUAACUUUUUUUUAAAUGUCAACAUGUUCUGGGCAGCUUUUCCAUCUCCAUCUGUGGCAUACACAUCACCGAUCCUCCCACUGCCCCUUUUUAAAUUUCCAGAGACUAGUUGGGAAUUGGAAAGAUAUUAAAAAGCGAAAGCGGAAAAUUCAAUUCAACAAGUAUGCUAAUAUAUAACCGAAUGCAAAGUAAUAUAUUUCCCUCCCAGUCGUGAACCUCAGAAACGUUCUUUCCUUUUCGUCUUAGAACUUGGAGGGGUUCACCAGACUUUUAACAAGGUAAUUAUGACCAAUUAACAUUCAGGGCUUACUACCAGUAACGGAACUGCUUGAGAGGAACCUAUUCAUAAAAUUCCCUUUCUAAAGAAAGCCUCAGUCGGGGCUUCAAAUUCAAGACGCUAUUAGGCCAUUUUCACUUCGUUUUCACCUCGUUAAACAGCCCACCUUAAAUGCCUGUGUCCCAGGUGACCGCGAGGAAGGGUCAAGGUCAUGGCUGUCUCUUAACGUCGCCUGGGAGUGACUUUACAAAGCGUGGGCUCACCUCGGUUAGUCCGAAGUGGGGUCCCCUCCCCGGAGACAGGCAUACCCACUGGCAGCAGCUUUGGCGAGGGCCAGAGCGCCUGCUGGCUGUGGCCGGGCCCCAAACACGCCUGACCACGUUUGGGUUCAACGUCAGAAUUCGCUUGCCUCCCCGUCUGCUCACCCAUCGCUCCUCUUGCCCAGCUAAUGCCUGCUCAGGCUGGAAGACCCGCUCAGGCUUUCAUUCUUCCAGAAGCUUCUCUGAUGCCCACCUCCACUUCUAG